rnacentral:rRNA from 1 species
GGCGGUUUAUUAAGUCAGAUGUGAAAGCCCCGGGCUUAACCUGGGAACUGCAUUUGAAACUGGUCAACUAGAGUAUGGUAGAGGAAAGUGGAAUUUCUGGUGUAGCGGUGAAAUGCGUAGAUAUCAGAAGGAACAUCAAUGGCGAAGGCAACUUUCUGGACCAAUACUGACGCUGAGGUACGAAAGCGUGGGUAGCAAACAGGAUUAGAUACCCUGGUAGUCCACGCCGUAAACGAUGAUAACUAGCCGUUGGGGGGAUUUACCCCUUAGUGGCGAAGCUAACGCGUUAAGUUAUCCGCCUGGGGAGUACGGCCGCAAGGUUAAAACUCAAAGGAAUUGACGGGGACCCGCACAAGCGGUGGAGCAUGUGGUUUAAUUCGAUGCAACGCGAAGAACCUUACCUGGUCUUGACAUCCUGAGAACUUUCUAGAAAUAGAUUGGUGCCUUCGGGAACUCAGUGACAGGUGCUGCAUGGCUGUCGUCAGCUCGUGUCGUGAGAUGUUGGGUUAAGUCCCGUAACGAGCGCAACCCCUAUCCUUAUUUGCCAGCACAUCAUGGUGGGAACUAUAAGGAGACUGCCGGUGAUAAACCGGAGGAAGGCGGGGACGACGUCAAGUCAUCAUGGCCCUUACGACCAGGGCUACACACGUGCUACAAUGGGAAGGACAAAGAGCCGCGAAGCCGCGAGGUGUAGCUAAUCUCAGAAACCUUUUCGUAGUCCGGAUUGGAGUCUGCAACUC